ACGCUCGACACCUACGUGAGGCAGCAGUAGGGAAUCUUCCACAAUGGACGCAAGUCUGAUGGAGCAACGCCGCGUGAGUGAAGAAGGUUUUCGGAUCGUAAAGCUCUGUUGUUGGUGAAGAAGGAUAGAGGUAGUAACUGGCCUUUAUUUGACGGUAAUCAACCAGAAAGUCACGGCUAACUACGUGCUAGCAGCCGCGGUAAUCUGAGCGGGCUGGCAAGGC
rnacentral:rRNA from 1 species